AACGAACGCUGGCGGCGUGCCUAACACAUGCAAGUCGAACGGGCAGGGGCAACCCUGUCAGUGGCGCACGGGUGCGUAACACGUGGGUAAUCAACCCUUUGGACUGGGACAACCCGGGGAAACUCGGGCUAAUACCGGAUGUGGCAUGUUGGUCUUCGGGCCGGCAUGCGAAAGCCUCGCAAGGGGCACCAGAGGACGAGCCCGCGGCCCAUCAGCUAGUUGGCGAGGUAAUGGCUCACCAAGGCUAAGACGGGUAGCUGGUCUGAGAGGAUGAUCAGCCACACUGGAACUGAGACACGGUCCAGACUCCUACGGGAGGGCAGCAGUGGGGAAUAUUGCGCAAUGGGCGAAAGCCUGACGCAGCCACGCCGCGUGAGCGAUGAAGGUCUUCGGAUCGUAAAGCUCUGUGGGGAGAGAAGAAUCAAGCCGGUGAAGAGCCGGCCCUGACGGUAUCUCCUUAGCAAGCACC
rnacentral:rRNA from 1 species